ensembl:lncRNA
CUUAUUUAUAUCCCUUUCCUUCUACUUUCACAUGAGGAAUUUGUUUUUUCUUUGAUCACAAUAUUUCAACUGAAAUAUUGUUAUAAACAAAUGUGCCAACUCUUUAUUAACCCCAGCAGUGUAAUCUCUCAUUACAAGACUCUGAUUCAGAGGAAACAGCGUUGCUAAAACAGCUACAGAGUCCUAGCAAAAAUGACAGCUUUCCUCAAUCAGUUCCUUUUGUGACCUUGAUCUGAACUUUAAUCUGUUUUAACAAAAUUCUUUUUAUUAGCCAUUCAUACUUAAUCAUACUGCUAAUUUUCCUGUUUUUAAACUAUCAAUUUAUAGCAGCUUUUUCAUGUAACUAAUCAGGGCUGAGGUAUGUUAUUUUGGCUGUGAUUUCUGAUAAUUAUUCUUAAGAGUUUUUUAAGUCUGCGUUUUCCAUAGAUAGCUGUCAAAAUUCUAGAUUCGGGUUGACUGAGUUGUUUCUGUCGUAUUGCAUGUACAAGUCCGCUUUCUCAUCUUCAGUGAGAAUAGCCAUUACAAACGUUGUGUGAGGAAUCCGAGCCUCGUCUUCUUUUCUUUCCUUCCAUCAUCAGUUGCUUUUUAUUAGUAUUAUUAUUACAUUCAGGGAUUACUGGAGGGAAGAAGGGCUUUCAGGGUCGGGCCCUAUUCAAGAUAUUUAGAAUAGAAAAUAGACAUGUACUUGCACCUGUCUCUCAAAUAUUGUAAAAUGUUGGAGCUAGUGACUAGUGAUUUUUCUUUGCCUGUGAUAUUAAAGGAACAGAUUGCGUUACUAUACUUAUCUCUACCUUUACAAACAAAUACACCAGGAAAAUAUGUCAAGCAGAAGAAACCACGCUUGUUAUCACAUGCUUAGCUGCACUGACUACAGGUUUUUGUGCUUGUUGGCCAAAGCUUCAAGACACACUGUUGCUUCGUUCGGCUUGGGAGUGCAAAGGGAGCCGCUUUGUGUCUGUGGCGCGCGCUCAGCUCGAAUCCUGCCNNNNNNNNNNNNNNNNNNNNNNNNNNNNNNNNNNNNNNNNNNNNNNNNNNNNNNNNNNNNNNNNNNNNNNNNNNNNNCGGGCGGGGGAGGGGCGCGGGCGCUCGGAGCGGUGUGCGUGCGCAGCGGGAGCGGGGCGGGAGGGGGCGGGCGGCUGCCAGCCGCGCGACACUUCCCCCCGCGGCCGACGCUGGCAUCGGGACGACACGCGCGGACCCACUCGGCAAGCGGUCUCCAGCCUGAACGUCCCGCCGAGCGCUCGGGUGGGCCAGAAGAUUACUUUGGAGCUCGUGUAAGUGACACUCGGAGGAUCGGCCGGCAGCAGGUUCGGCGGCCCCGGCCCCCGGAGCCGCGGGAUGUCAUCCCCGUGACAUGCCUGGGAUCCCCGGCUCAUUCCCCAACUGUCCGGUCACAGCAGCGUCUCUGUCAUGUUGCACUUCAAGUCUGUCACUGGCACGGGUUCACGCUCCUCACCCGGCAACUCUGCUCUCUUUUGCUGAGGCUCGUGUUUUUAUUUUUAACACAGAGUCCUCCACAUCGGUGGUGACAGUGGGUUUCUCUUGCAAGAUGGGAUUCUGCCGUAGGAGAGGAUGGCUGGGAAUCGUACAGCAAAUGUACGCGCACGUGCUAGGAGAGGGCCUGCGCUCUGGCACUCUAGCUGUUGCAGUGGAAAUGGAAAAAAAAAAAAAAGCAUUUGUAAUAAAAAGCAAAAAAAAGUAUUUGUAAUGU